rnacentral:rRNA from 1 species
CAGUUCGGAUUGUAGGCUGCAACUCGCCUACAUGAAGUCGGAGUUGCUAGUAAUCGCGGAUCAGAAUGCCGCGGUGAAUGCGUUCCCGGGUCUUGUACACACCGCCCGUCACACCAUGGAAGUUGGGGGCGCCCGAAGUCAGUGGCCCAACCGCGAGGGGGAGCUGCCGAAGGCAGGUCCGGUGACUGGGGUGAAGUCGUAACAAGGUAUC